AUUGAACGCUGGCGGCAGGCCUAACACAUGCAAGUCGAACGAAUAGCGGAAGGGUGGAUAAUGUCUGGGAAACUGCGCGAUGGAGGGGGAUAAGGAGUGGAAACGGUAGCUAAUACCGCAUACCAUCCGGUCUGCCCUGAUGGGAUUAGCGAGCCGGUGGGGUAAAGGCUCACCUAGGCGACACUCCCUAGCUGGUCUGAGAGGAUGACCAGCCACACUGGAACUGAGACACGGUCCAGACUCCUACGGGAGGCAGCAGUGGGGAAUAUUGCACAAUGGGCGCAAGCCUGAUGCAGCCAUGCCGCGUGUAUGAAGAAGGCCUUCGGUUCGUAAAGUACUUUCAGCCAGGACGCGUUACUCGCAGAAGAAGCACCGGCUAACUCCGUGCCAGCAGCCGCGGUAAUAC
rnacentral:rRNA from 1 species